rnacentral:lncRNA from 1 species
CCAAUAAAAUAGCACCGAUUAGAACAACUACAACAUAUCCAGUGUAUUUUCACAUAGUGAGGUCUGAGGAGGGUAGAGUGUAUGCUGACCAUACUACUACCUCAGGUGAAGUAGAGAGACUGUUUCCGAUAGACCCCCGGCUUAGGAUCGAUAGCAGUAUAACAAACACAAAACAUAAAUAAAUAUAAACUAGUACAUUAUCAUGCAAGCCAAACUAACACCGCUAGCCACAAGAUAAUACUAUAGCCACAAGAUAAUAUUAAAAAUUAUCUAUCCGAAAUCAUAGACAUCACUCAACACCAUGAACAAGAAAUUUCAGACACAAAUAAAGAACGCUCUCCUACUGUUACCGAUGCACUCCCACCCUCAACUUGAGCACUCCCCCUACUGAUGAUACAUGUACCAACUUGAGCACACCUCAACGAAUUUCACGAGAUAUUUAUUACCUCUCAUCAAUGAUAAGUAAGUAUAUAGAUAGAUUACGUGAGAUAUAUAGACUACGUUCUGUGAGUUUGUGUUUAGGAGUUGACUGAAGAUAUAGCAGACCGUGAUGUAGUUUUGCUGGACUAUUAGGUAAUCAAUGAAAGCUGUUUGUUACCCAAAAAAAUGAGAGUAAUUCAUAGCUAUACGAAUAUUUAAAAACUUAUUAAGAUUAUAAACCUCAAUAAUUU